rnacentral:rRNA from 1 species
AACGAACGCUGGCGGCAUGCCUAACACAUGCAAGUCGAACGAGAUCCUUCGGGGUCUAGUGGCGCACGGGUGCGUAACGCGUGGGAAUCUGCCCUUUGCUUCGGAAUAACAGUUAGAAAUGACUGCUAAUACCGGAUGAUGUCUUCGGACCAAAGAUUUAUCGGCAAGGGAUGAGCCCGCGUAGGAUUAGGUAGUUGGUGGGGUAAAGGCCUACCAAGCCGACGAUCCUUAGCUGGUCUGAGAGGAUGAUCAGCCACACUGGGACUGAGACACGGCCCAGACUCCGACGGGAGGCAGCAGUGGGGAAUAUUGGACAAUGGGCGCAAGCCUGAUCCAGCAAUGCCGCGUGAGUGAUGAAGGCCUUCGGGUCGUAAAGCUCUUUUACCAGGGAUGAUAAUGACAGUACCUGGAGAAUAAGCUCCGGCUAACUCCGUGCCAGCCGCCGCGGUAAGAC